AGGACAAACGCUGGCGGGGUGCAUGAGACAUGCAAGUCGAACGAGGUGCCGAUCGGGCUUGCUCGAUGGUUACCUAGUGGCGGACGGCUGAGUAACGCGUAGGUGACCUACCCGGAAGUGGGGAAUAACGUGCCCGAAAGGGUGGCUAAUACCGCAUGUGGUCGGCGA
rnacentral:rRNA from 1 species